rnacentral:rRNA from 1 species
UACGGGAGGCAGCAGUGGGGAAUAUUGCACAAUGGGCGCAAGCCUGAUGCAGCCAUGCCGCGUGUAUGAAGAAGGCCUUCGGGUUGUAAAGUACUUUUCAGUCGUGAGGAAGGUGUUAAGGUUAAUAACCUUAGCAAUUGACGUUAGCGACAGAAGAAGCACCGGCUAACUCCGUGCCAGCAGCCGCGGUAAUACGGAGGGUGCGAGCGUUAAUCGGAAUUACUGGGCUAAAGGGCACGCAGGCGGUUAAUUAAGUUGGAUGUGAAAUCCCCGGGCUUAACCUGGGAAUGGCAUUCAAGACUGGUUAGCUAGAGUCUUGUAGAGGGGGUAGAAUUCCAUGUGUAGCGGUGAAAUGCGUAGAGAUGUGGAGGAAUACCGGUGCGAAGGCGGCCCCUGGGACAAGACUGACGCUCAUGUGCGAAAGCGUGGGGAGCAAACGAGGAUUAGAUACC